AGAGCUGUAUACCUAAAUCAGGAGGGACUCCAGGGAUAAAACUCCCUGGGUUAUAGCCUAGGUGCCUAAGGACACAGCAUAGAGCUUCCUUAGAUCCCUUUGGAGAUACAACUUGCUAGAGGAAAUGAAAGUCUGAACCAUUAGUACCUAGGAGGCAGGGAUCAGAGGAGUAGAUUCAGAGAACUUCCAAGAUGGUGGCUAGCAGCUUCCAAGAUGGUGGUGGGCCGCUUCCAAGAUGGUGGCAAGCCUCGUGUUCUCUGACCUGGGGUUCUUGGCCUCACGGAUCCCAAGGAAUGGAAUCCUGGGCCAUGCCAGGUGAGUGUUAUACCUCUAUUAGAAGCCAUGGAUCACAGAAGAGAACCAUGGAACCCAGUAACUAGUGUUCAGCUCGAUUAGGACGAACCCAGGCACUUAGCCGUGCAGGAACAAUGGCAAGCCUUUAGCCUGAUCGGGAGCAGCAAUGGGCGCCUCGCUGGAUCAGGAGCACAGCAGACACCCUGCCGGAUCCGGAGGGAUAGAAGUCAGUGGCGGGUCCGGCACAACGGCAAACAGCAGUGGUGGAUGGCGAGCGAAAGCUCAGCUCAAGCUGUAACAAACAUGGACCAGAAAAGUGCAGUUGCAAGAUUUAAUAGGGUGAAAACAGAGCUCCCAUAUAAAGGGAGGGGACCCAAAGGGGGUUGCCA
rnacentral:lncRNA from 1 species